CGGGGUGUAGCGCAGUUGGGAGCGCGCUUGCUUCGGGAGCAAGAGGUCGCAGGUUCAAAUCCUGUCACUCCGACCA
rnacentral:tRNA from 3 species